rnacentral:tRNA from 2 species
AGAGACUUAGGAUAGUAAGAGACCAAGGGCCUUCAAAGCCCUAAGCGGGGGUGAAAAUCCCCCAGUCCCUG